rfam:Sphingopyxis granuli strain TFA, complete genome.
CCAGAGGGUCGGGCGAUCGCCGCUUUCCGCGAGGGAAGGGGAGGAAAGUCCGGGCUCCACGGAAACCACGGUGCCGGAUAACGUCCGGCGGGUCCGCUUUCGGGCGGGCUCAGGGAAAGUGCCACAGAGAGCAGACCGCCAAAGGCUUCGGCCCGGCGAAAGGUGAAAGGGUGCGGUAAGAGCGCACCGCGCGGACGGCAACGGACGCGGCACGGCAAACCCCACCGGGAGCAAGGUCGAAUAGGGAUGGCACGGGCCCCUUUCUUAGGGGAGGGUGCCCAGGGCUGGUUCCGGCCCCGCCGUCCGGGUUGACUGCUUGAGCGUCCGGGCAACCGGCCGCCUAGAGGAAUGAUCGCCCAUCCCCGCAAGGGGUGGACAGAACCCGGCUUACAGACCCUCUGGCGCC